UGAUCUCGAUUUUAUUUUUUUGUCAUGCACUUGUUUAUUUAAAUUGCUCGUAUAUUAAAAGACCUAAAAAAUAUUUUUAUUUUAUUCAAUUAAGUAAUUAAUUGCAUAUUUUUUUCAUUAUUAUUUAUUUUAUUUUACUCUUGUAUUGAUAAUGUAUCUCCCUCUAUUUUUAUGUCAUUUAUUCUUCCUCAUGUGUUAAUAGUGCAUCCCAUCCCAUUUAUUAUUAUUUUUUGCUUUAUUUAUUUUAUUUUUCAUACUUUUUUUAUUUCCUUUAAUUGCUCACACAUUAUGUAUUGAUAGUGUAUUUGUCUCCCUUUUAUUAUUUUCUUUAUUGGUUAUAUUUUCUUUAGCUUUGAUCAACUAUUGUAUUGAUAGUGUGUCUCUCUCCCCUUCAUUUUUAUUACUAUUAUUUAUACUGCUU
rnacentral:lncRNA from 1 species